rnacentral:rRNA from 1 species
GACGAACGCUGGCGGCGUGCUUAACACAUGCAAGUCGAACGGAAAGGCCCUGCUUUUGUGGGGUGCUCGAGUGGCGAACGGGUGAGUAACACGUGAGUAACCUGCCCUUGACAUUGGGAUAACUUCAGGAAACUGGGGCUAAUACCGGAUAGGAGCUCCUGCUGCAUGGUGGGGGUUGGAAAGUUUCGGCGGUUGGGGAUGGACUCGCGGCUUAUCAGCUUGUUGGUGGGGUAGUGGCUUACCAAGGCUUUGACGGGUAGCCGGCCUGAGAGGGUGACCGGCCACAUUGGGACUGAGAUGCGGCCCAGACUCAUACGGGAGGGAGCAGUGGGGAAUAGUGCACAAUGGGCGGAAGCCUGAUGCAGCAGCGCCGCGUGCGGGAUGACGGCCUUCGGGUUGUAAACCGCUUUCGCCUGUGACGGAGCGUGAGUGACGGUAAUGGGUAAAGAAGCACCGGCUAACUACGUG